rnacentral:tRNA from 1 species
GGGUUGCAGCGUUCGUCGGAUGCGGCCGAGUUGUAUGACACACAAGAGGUCACUGGUUCGAGUCCAGUACGGCCCA